AAUGGACUCUCCCUCUCUCAUUUUGUGGAGGCUGACUUUGUAUUUUGGGAUCAGACUUCUAGGACUGGCAUGUAUUCUAGUCUUGUGGGGAACCCUUUGUGUGUGGGUCUCAGCUGCCCCUCUUAAAUUGACUCUGAUAUUAAGUAUAGGUAAUAAACUCUUCCUCUCUUAUUUUCUCGGUCUGUGGAGGCUGACUUUCUAUUUUAAGAGCAUCAGAUUUCUAGGACUGGCAUGUAUUCUAGUCUUGUGGGGAACCCUUUGUGUGUGGGUCUCAGCUGCCCCUUUUAAACUGAGUCUGAUAUUAACUUAAGUAUAGGUGAUAAACUUUUCCUCUCUUAUUUUCUCAGUCUGUGGAGGCUGACUUGCUAUUCUAGGAGCAGAAAAUCCUUCUCACAGGCAGUUACUCUUGUCUUGUGGGGGAGCUUUUGUGUGUGGGUCCCAGCUUUCCCUCUUAAAUCUGGCUCUGAUAUUAACUUAAGUAUAAAGAACAGACCCUUCCUCUCUAACUCUUUCAUUUUGUGGAGGCUGACUUUUUAUCAUAGGAGCAGAAAAUUCUAUCUCUGGCAGGGAUAUUGAAUUAGGGGACUCAGUGUGUGGGUCCCAGCUUCCCCUCUUAAAUCUGGCUCUGAUAUUAACUUAAGUAUAAAGAACAGACCCUUCCUCUCUUACUCUUUCAUUUUGUGGAGGCUGACUUUUUAUCAUAGGAGCAAAAAAAAUCUUAUCACUGGCAGUUACUCUAGUAUUGUGGGGGAGACUCAGUGUGUGGAUCUCAACUUCCCCUCUUACACUGGCUCUGAUAUUAACUUAAGUAUAAAGAAUAGACCCUUCCUCUCUAACUCUUUCAUUUCUUUUUAUCAUAGGAGCAGAAAAUUCUUGACUUAGGGGAUUCAGUGUGUGGGUCCCAGCUUCCCCUCUUAAAUCUGGCACUGAUAUUAACUUAAGUAUAAAGAACAGACCCUUCCUCUCUAACUCUUUCAUUUUGUGGAGGCUGACUUUUUAUCAUAGGAGCAGAAAAUCCUAAUCACUGGCGGUUACAUUUGUAUUGUGGGGGAGCCUUUGUGUGUGGGUCUCAACUUCCCCUCUUAAAUUGACUCUGAUAUUAACUUAAGUAUAAAGAAUAGACCCUUCCUCUCUAACUCUUUCAUUUCUUUUUAUCAUAAGAGCAAAAAAAAAAUCUCACUGGCAAUUACUCUUGUGUUGUGGGGGAGCCUUUAUAUGGGGUCCCAGCUGCCCCUCUUAAAUCUGGCUCUGAUAUUAAGUCAUGUUAAGUAAAGACUGUUCUUCUCUCAUCCAGACAAUCUGCUUAUGAAUCACAGAUGUGCCAACACUCUAAUCUUAUCUUAUCUAAAUCUCAGUAAACAUAAGGAAUAAACUCUUCCUCUCUUCCUCUCUUAUCCCUCUGAUUCACUUAUUAAGGGAGAAUCAUAUACAAAGAUUACUGGCCAUAUAUCAUGCUCUCCUUUACCAAGAUUGAGGUGUCAUUAAUUUCUAACUGUAAAACCAUCAGCAACUUAUGAUCUCCUCUUUGCCUUUGUUGAAUACCACAUACUUCAAAUCCAAUUACAGGUAGUACUUGUUUCUGGCAUGUUUGGCUCAUACAAUUGCAUACCGCCCACACAGUAUGACAGAAGGCACGUGAUAUAUCUAUGUGUGAAUGAAUAAAUUACACAUGAUUACUAAAUGAUCGGAAAUAAAUUAAUAAAUACAAUAAAAGAUAUGAUACAACUUUUUUUUUCUAGCAGCGUUUAACAUUGCUCUGACUCCUUGUGUUCUGAAGCAUUAGGCUGUGUCCCCACAGGCAUGGCUUACAGAUAAAAUAAUGAAUGAAUAAAAGAAAGUGAACAACCAUUGGUCACCAUCACCCACCACCACCAUCACCACCACCCACUUGUAUACUGACAAAGGCACGCUGGAGGGCCAAGAAAAGCCUCAAGAAAGUAUGAAACAAGUAAAAUUUGAAUCUUCCUGGUUCCAACACACACACACACACACACACACAUACACACA